AUGGGUAUAAUUAUGGGACACUGUGUGGGCUUACGGCCUCCUCCUUCUUGCCUCAUCCUCCUACUGCUCAAGCUUCUGGCCACUGUCUCCCAGGGGCUGCCGGGGACUGGGCCUCUGGGCUUCCACUUCACACAUCCCAUGUAUAAUGCCACCGUGUAUGAGAACUCAGCAGCAAGGACCUACGUCAACAGCCAGAGUAGAAUGGGCAUCACCUUGAUAGAUCUUUCCUGGGAUAUCAAAUACAGAAUAGUGUCCGGAGACGAGGAAGGCUUUUUCAAAGCAGAGGAAGUCAUCAUUGCAGAUUUCUGUUUUCUCAGAAUAAGAACUAAAGGUGGCAAUUCUGCCAUAUUGAAUAGGGAGAUUCAGGACAAUUAUUUAUUGAUAGUAAAAGGUUCUGUUAGAGGAGAGGAUUUGGAAGCAUGGACCAAAGUUAAUAUACAGGUUUUAGAUAUGAAUGACCUGAGACCUCUGUUUUCACCCACAACAUACUCUGUUACAAUAGCAGAAAGCACACCUUUAAGGACUAGUGUCGCACAGGUGACAGCAACAGAUGCAGAUAUUGGUUCCAAUGGAGAAUUCUACUACUACUUUAAGAGCAAAGUUGAUCUUUUUUCAGUUCAUCCCACAAGUGGUGUCAUUUCUUUAAGUGGACGAUUAAAUUAUGAUGAAAAGAAUAGAUAUGAUCUGGAAAUUUUGGCUGUGGACCGAGGAAUGAAACUUUAUGGAAACAACGGAGUGAGCAGUACUGCAAAGCUUUAUGUUCACAUUGAACGUAUAAAUGAGCAUGCCCCAACAAUUCAUGUAGUCACUCAUGUUCCUUUCUCAUUGGACAAAGAGCCAACAUAUGCAGUGGUGACAGUCGAUGACCUGGAUGAGGGGGCCAAUGGAGAAAUUGAAUCUGUUUCCAUCAUAGCUGGGGAUCCUUUCGAUCAGUUCUUCUUGGCUAAGGAAGGAAAGUGGUUGAACGAGUACAGGAUUAAGGAGAGGAGGCAGAUUGACUGGGGCAGCUUUUCCUAUGGCUACAAUCUUACUCUUCAAGCGAAAGACAAGGGAGCUCCUCAAAAGUUUUCAGCAUUAAAAAUGGUCCACAUUGUCAACCCCAGAAGAGACACAGUCCCAGUUAGAUUUGAAAAAGAAGUGUACGAUGUGAGCAUGAGCGAGUUUUCCCCUCCUGGUGUUGUGGUUGCUAUAGUAAAGUUAAGCCCCGAACCGCUAGACGUGGAAUACAAAUUGUCCCCAGGUGAGGAUGCAGUGUACUUUAAAAUUAAUCCUCGGUCAGGGUUGAUUGUUACUGCCCAGUCACUGAAUACUGUCAAAAAGGAGGUUUAUAAACUGGAGGUGACAAACAAGGAAGGAGACUUAAAAUCACAAGUCACAGUCGGCAUAGAAGAUGCAAAUGACCACACCCCUGAGUUCCAGCAGCUGCUGUAUGAUGCUUACGUGAAUGAAAGUGUCCCAGUGGGAGCCAGUGUUCUGACGGUGUCAGCUUCUGAUAAGGAUAAAGGAGAAAAUGGAUACAUCACCUAUAGUAUCACCAGCCUGAAUUUGUUACCAUUUGCCAUUAACCAGUUUACAGGUGUUAUUAGCACAACUGAAGAAUUAGAUUUUGAGUCCUCUCCAGAGACUUACAGAUUCAUCGUUAGAGCCUCUGACUGGGGUUCACCCUACCGCCACGAGAGUGAAGUAAAUGUGACUAUUCGAAUAGGAAAUGUCAAUGACAACAGCCCUCUCUUUGAAAAAGUGGCUUGCCAGGGAGUUAUUUCUUAUGACUUUCCAGUCGGUGGUCACAUCACAGCUGUCUCAGCGAUCGAUGUUGAUGAACUUGAACUUGUAAAGUAUAAAAUCAUUUCAGGAAAUGAACUUGGCUUUUUUUAUUUAAACCCAGAUUCUGGUGUUUUACAGCUUAAAAAGUCCCUGAUGAAUUCUGGCAUUAAAAAUGGUAAUUUUGCCCUCAGAAUUACAGCAACUGAUGGAGAGAAUCUUGCAGACCCCAUGUCUAUUAACAUUUCAGUUCUCCAUGGGAAGGUGUCUUCAAAGAGCUUCAGUUGCCGAGAAACUCGUGUGGCUCAAAAGCUGGCAGAGAAACUACUCAUUAAGGCAAAAGCAAAUGGGAAACUGAAUCUGGAAGAUGGCUUUCUUGACUUUUAUUCAGUUAAUAGGCAGGGACCACAUUUUGACAAGUCUUUUCCUUCUGAUGUGGCUGUAAAGGAAGAUCUGCCAGUUGGUGCUAACAUCCUGAAGAUUAAAGCCUAUGAUGCCGACUCUGGCUUCAAUGGAAAGGUGCUAUUUACAAUAUCUGAUGGAAAUACGGACAGUUGCUUUAAUAUUGAUAUGGAGACUGGGCAACUUAAGGUCCUUAUGCCCAUGGAUCGUGAACACACAGACCUCUAUAUCCUUAAUAUCACCAUCUACGACUUAGGUAAUCCACAGAAAUCUUCAUGGAGGUUGCUGACCAUCAAUGUGGAGGAUGCUAAUGACAAUAACCCUGUUUUUCUUAAAGACAGUUACUCAGUUAACGUUCUUGAAAGUUCAAGCAUUGGUACUGAGAUUAUUCAAGUGGAAGCCAGAGACAAAGACUUGGGUUCUAAUGGUGAAGUGACUUACUCGGUCUUAACAGAUACACAGCAGUUUGCCAUCAAUAGCUCAACUGGAAUUGUUUAUGUAGCUGACCAAUUAGACCGGGAAUCCAAAGCAAACUACUCUUUGAAAAUAGAAGCCAGGGACAAGGCAGAAAGUGGUCAGCAGCUAUUUUCAGUUGUCACUCUUAAAGUUUUCUUAGAUGAUGUCAAUGACUGCUCCCCAGCUUUCAUUCCCAGUAGCUAUAGUGUGAAGGUUCUUGAAGAUCUCCCCGUUGGCACUGUCAUUGCUUGGCUGGAGACUCAUGAUCCAGAUCUUGGACUGGGUGGUCAAGUGCGCUAUUCUUUGGUCAAUGACUAUAAUGGAAGAUUUGAAAUAGAUAAAGCAAGUGGUGCCAUUCGCUUGAGUAAAGAGCUUGACUACGAAAAGCAACAGUUCUAUAACCUCACUGUUCGGGCCAAAGACAAAGGGCGGCCUGUCUCGCUGUCAUCUGUGUCCUUUGUUGAGGUGGAAGUGGUGGAUGUCAAUGAGAAUCUCCACACCCCCUAUUUCCCAGACUUUGCGGUUGUUGGAUCUGUAAAGGAAAACUCACGCAUCGGAACAAGUGUGCUUCAGGUGACCGCCCGAGAUGAAGACUCUGGGAGAGAUGGAGAGAUCCAGUACUCUAUCAGGGAUGGCAGUGGUCUCGGAAGGUUCAGCAUAGAUGACGAGAGUGGUAAGUUUAACAACUUGUGCCAGAUGAGUUGUUUAACCUCUCUCAAAUCAUCAGCAUUGAGAAAGUAAAGGGAUUUUAGGGCACUAAAAUAGAUUGACAAAUGAAGUUGCAUUGGGUGCAGAGAUGAUGCAAGUAAUACUCUGUUUUUUGAGAAGAUCUGUUUAUACAGUAAGAGCCAUGGUUUCCAGUGGGGGGCUCAUUUUGUUUUGUUUUGCUUUUUCUUCCUCAGCACUGCGGCUACCAGGUCAUCUUUUGAUAAGCAUAAGUGAUUCUCACUUCUGUUGAUUGUACUCCUGACCCUCACUAAAUGAAAAGCCUGAUAAAGUAAAUUACAUUUGAAUUGGCUUUAAAUUAGAAGUGUGAAAUGGGCCUUUCAAAUGGAUCUUAUAUAGGAAUCUUUCCCUUUAUAGUAGGACCUUGCUGAUGUGAUAUUGCAUGAAAUGCUUGGUCUUACAUAUUUUACGGGUGCACCUGGGCCUUGAAUGAUGGGCAUUUUCAUUGUAUAAGCUCUAUUAAUAUGAGGAAGUGUGCUUCUGCAACUGUUUUUACAAUAGAAGUGAGGAGGCAUGCUGUGCAUUUUAUUUAUAAAAAAAGAUUUUAAACUUUUAUUUGUAAGUAUUGACUUUUUUAUAGAACAUUUGGGACGA